GAUUCCUAUGAAAACAAAUUAAAUUGAGGUAUAGGUUCGUUUCUAAAUCCGUCACCCACCAAGAGAGGUGAGAAAUACGUACCAUAUCUUUUGAAAAUAAUUCUCGAAGAGGGCAGAAUGGCUGUGGGAGCUGCGUUUGUUUUCCUUUGUGGGGCUCGCUAGUUCUGCUCUGCCCCUCGAUAAAUUAUAACCUCUCAAAAGGAACUCGGU
rnacentral:lncRNA from 1 species